rnacentral:rRNA from 1 species
CCUACGGGAGGCAGCAGUGAGGAAUAUUGGUCAAUGGCCGUAAGGCUGAACCAGCCAAGUCGCGUGAAGGAAGAAGGAUCUAUGGUUUGUAAACUUCUUUUAUAGGGGAAUAAAGGUAUCCACGUGUGGCUAUUUGCAUGUACCCUAUGAAUAAGCAUCGGCUAACUCCGUGCCAGCAGCCGCGGGAAUACGGAGGAUGCGAGCGUUAUCCGGAUUUAUUGGGUUUAAAGGGUGCGUAGGGUGUUUGUUAAGUUAGCGGUGAAAGUCUGUGGCUCAACCAUGAAAUUGCCGUUGAAACUGGAAGACUUGAGUGUGUUUGAGGUAGGCGGAAUGCGUGGUGUAGCGGUGAAAUGCAUAGAUAUCACGCAGAACUCCGAUUGCGAAGGCAGCUUACUAAGCCAUAACUGACGCUGAAGCACGAAAGCGUGGGGAUCAAACAGGAUUAGAUACCCCUGUAGUC